rnacentral:rRNA from 1 species
AACAAACGCUGGCGGCGUGCCUAAUACAUGCAAGUCGAACGGGGAAAGCUUUCGGGUGAGUUAUAGUUGCGCACGGGUGAGUAACGCGUGGGUAAUCUGCCUUAGAGUGGGGGAUAAUAAGUCGAAAGAUAAGCUAAUACCGCAUAGAACAAAAAGACCUGGGUUCCAGGGGGUAAAGGGUUUUUCGAUCUAAGAUGAGUCCGCGUAAGAUUAGCUAGUUGGUAGGGUAACGGCCUACCAAGGCGACGAUCUUUAACUGGUCUGAGAGGAUGAUCAGUCACACUGGAACUGAGACACGGUCCAGACUCCUACGGGAGGCAGCAGUAGGGAAUAUUGCACAAUGGAGGAAACUCUGAUGCAGCGACGCCGCGUGAGUGAUGAAGGCCUUCGGGUCGUAAAGCUCUGUCGCAGGGGAAUAACACAAUGAAGGUACCCUGUAAGAAAGGAUCGGCUAACUUCGUGCCAGCAGCCGCGGUAAGAC